rnacentral:rRNA from 1 species
UACGUAGGGUGCGAGCGUUGUCCGGAAUUAUUGGGCGUAAAGAGCUUGUAGGCGGUUUGUCGCGUCUGCUGUGAAAUCGCCCGGCUCAACUGGGCGGGGUCGGUGGAAACUGGUCACCUGGGAGGACGGUAGAGGCGAGUGGGAAUUCCCGGUGUAGUGGUGAAAUGCGUAGAGAUCCGGAGGAACACCAGAGGCGAAGGCGGCCUACUGGGCCAGUACUGACGCUGAGCGCGAAAGCCAGGGGAGCGAACGGG